CGUAGGGCGCAAGCGUUGUCCGGAAUUAUUGGGCGUAAAGAGCUCGUAGGCGGUUUGUCGCGUCUGCUGUGAAAACCUCAGGCUCAACCUGGGGCUUGCAGUGGGUACGGGCAGACUAGAGUGCGGUAGGGGUGACUGGAAUUCCUGGUGUAGCGGUGGAAUGCGCAGAUAUCAGGAGGAACACCGAUGGCGAAGGCAGGUCACUGGGCCGCAACUGACGCUGAGGAGCGAAAGCAUGGGGAGCGAACAGGAUUAGAUACCCUGGUAGUCCAUGCCGUAAACGUUGGGCACUAGGUGUGGGGCUCAUUCCACGAGUUCCGUGCCGCAGCAAACGCAUUAAGUGCCCCGCCUGGGGAGUACGGCCGCAAGGCUA
rnacentral:rRNA from 1 species